rnacentral:tRNA from 1 species
GCAGUGAUGGCCGAGUGGUUAAGGCGUCUGACAAGAAAUCAGAUGGGAUAUUCCCGCGGAGGUUCGAAUCCUACUCACUGCG